UACGUAGGGGGCAAGCGUUGUCCGGAUUUAUUGGGCGUAAAGAGCGUGUAGGCGGUCAGGUAGGUCCGUUGUGAAAACUCGAGGCUCAACCUCGAGACGCCGAUGGAAACCAUCUGACUAGAGUCCGGAAGAGGAGAGUGGAAUUCCCGGUGUAGCGGUGAAAUGCGCAGAUAUCGGGAGGAACACCAAUGGCGAAGGCAGCUCGCUGGGACGUGACUGACGCUGAGACGCGAAAGCGUGGGGAGCAAACAGG
rnacentral:rRNA from 1 species